rnacentral:lncRNA from 1 species
UAAGACAGUGCAAAUGCAGCAUGCACGUGUUACACUUUGCUAUAGUCCGUUAAAUAUACAUGUGGGGCUCCCGUAUCGAUACAUGCGGAUGCUGGCAUUAAUCCUUUAACUGGAAUGCUCUCUGACAGUAACUCUCCAUUACUCAGCUCUUUAUUGAUUUGGGCUCAUCUCUAAAAGUUCAGACUUGGAGAAUACUCAGGCCAGGUCUCAAUGAGGAGAGGAGCAUGGACUGUUGGUAAUUAUCCAAUGAAUUCCAGUAAUUACCCAAUGAAUUACAAAUUGUCUAUACCAGUGUUUCCUGGAAUUCAAGGAACACAGAAAUGUGAAUUCAGCAAUGUACCUGUGAACUUUCCAGGAUACUUUUGGGGGAGCGAGUGGGGAAGGGGGCUGUCCAGGGGGAGGGCCUUGUCCGGUUACCACUGCUCUAGUGCUUAAUCAUCUGCAUCUCCUCACCCCAAUACAAUUCUUAUAAACACAUGUCAUUCACAUGACUUUUGGUUUUAAUCUGCCACCAUCCCCUCUGCCUCUAAGGAAGAAAAGAAAGAAAGGAAAACUAAAGAACCCCUCACUGGCUACAUGUGUUACCUUGGGUUAAGUCACUAUUUGUACGACAUAAAGUUCUAAGAUCACUGCUCUGAAAGCAGGACUCUAACACAGAUCAUGGACCUCUUCGGGAGUUAGGAAAUAAUAGGCUCUCCCCUCAAAGGUCACCAUAGCUGAUAGAUAAAAUUCUCCCAAAGAUAUAUUUGAUUGUGGGUGUUCCCACACUCUUGCAAACCGAUUAUUUAUGAAUCCACCAUUUGGCAGAGUUGGGUCCAGCAUGAGCUACCUAUCUUUUGUUGGGGAAAGAGUUUUUCAACAACAAACUUGUCAAAGUGAAUGAGGGCUGGAAGCUGUGUAGUUUUGAUGAUGAAUAAGUCUGGGAUCAAGGGAAAAGCCUCCAGAUAUUUCUGAAAAUACAGCCUCUCUUCCACUUUCCAUGGCCCUUUCCUUUGUACUCUUCCAUAACAAAUACUCAUGGUAUCUUCUUCCAAAUCAGGUGAUGACAAUACAAAUUAAACUCCUGAGCGUGCAUUUUUCCUCUGGGCCAUGAUGACUAAGUGGGAUGAAUCUGCACUUCUCCUUGGGGCAACUACAGGGCAAGAGGAAGACUGUUGAAGCUCUCACUCCUCAGUGAGCUCGGGUUUUCUCCUGGUGCAGAUCAGUAGGUCCUGGUGCAUCUCCUUCCUCCAGUUGAGCUGGGAAUGCAAACCAGAGACGUCUCUAACAGUGACUGAUGCGGAGGUGAUGACCCGCUGGCCAGGCAAAGCUUUCCCUCUCUGUUCUCCUCCCGCUCCGUGUGCCAGUAAUUGCCUGAUGUCCGUGACAAAUGGCGGGUAAAUCCCAGGCUGAGAGCUCAGAAUGGACUUCAGAGGGUUCUCUUCCUGGCAAGCUCUUGUGGAAAGAGGUGAAGGACUGCUGGCCCUGAGGCGGUCUCUGCUCAAGCCCACCUGGUGGAGGUCAGGAAUGGGGCCCGGGGUGAGUUCACCUUCAGCAGCCCCCAUCUGCAGACAGACAAAGGCAACCAUGGUUUCGAGC